AAUACUAUCUGCUUAUGAAUAGAACUCUAGAUUUUCUCCUUACAAGAAAUAAAUUUGACAUUUCUUUAAACAGAAAAAGUUUUCUUAUGGGGAAGAGGUUAAAGUAAUCCAAUUUGGGAUCAUAUGUCAUAAACCCCUAAUAUAGUGAAGAAAAUCUCCAUUAAGCAUUUGUAAUAAUAUUCAGUGGAAUUUUCUUUAAACCCAUUAGUUUUCAGUGAUAACCAAUAUAAUAAUAUCUCACCAUCUUGCUUAAUCAAAAAGCUCUUUAAAACUCUAAGGACAGUAAAGCACUAGAGUUAAUAGUAUAUACUUUACAAUUUAAUUAAUAACCAAUACAACAGUACAUUUUUGUGACAACAAAUUUUAGGAACAGUAAACUACACUGAAAUAUAGCAUGAGCUAAUUUGAGAACAAAUUAGGCAUUAAGUAAUACUUUUCAUAUUCUAAUCUAUAUUAAGGAUGGAUGGAUAUCCAGGUAGAUUGAGCCAAAAAAAUAAAUAAAUAAAUGAACUAACUGAGUCUGAGAGAAUGAGUUCUGACAUGCUUGAUAGUUGACAAGAUUUAAAUUAAGGGGAAAAAAAAAAAAAACAGGAUCAGUUGAUCUGCAGUGAAUCACAGGAAAUUCAUCUCAGUCCAAACUAACAUAAGUCAUAUAAUGACCAUUCAGAUAUUUAUGAACAUUGUUAAGGCAAAAUGAGCAUCCUCUGACAUACCGACCCUCAGAUUGUGCCUAAAUACGCUGGAUGUACCAAUAAGAGUCUGUUUUAGGAUAUGUGCUCAGAUCACAAGUUAAACCAGAGUGUGUUGAAGGAUGAGGGCAAACAUUUUCCAAAUACUUUAACUCAAACUUUAAAUAGUAAUUUCCUGCCUAAGAGGCCUUUUACAUCCAAAUUUGGCAUUCUUCACUACCACAGCGGGUACAGAUAUUUACAAAUAGUUUUUGCAAAGAGGGUACCAGUCAUUCCUAAAAUUGACCUUAACCUCUUAGAUAUUCCACCUUCCUACAAAUAACUGUCUAGAAUUCCUGAAUUUAUCUAAUUGUAUAUGUAUAUAGGAACCCCAUAGCCUUUCCUUUUGUUUAAAAGAUAUUCUACUUUGAGUUAGUCUGAGGUAAGUGACUCAGAGUAGUCAUUUUUUAUUUACUUACUAAUGAAACAGGAAUAAUACCUGUCAUAUCCAAC
rnacentral:lncRNA from 1 species